rnacentral:pre_miRNA from 1 species
CUUGAGGGGAGGGGACGGUCCCUCAGCCCAGAUUGCGAAAGGGUGCAGGCCAGGCCAAGGGACCCCACUGGUGCAUG